AGUGAGCGCUGGCGGUAGGCCUAACACAUGCAAGUCGAACGGCAGCACAGUAAGAGCUUGCUCUUACGGGUGGCGAGUGGCGGACGGGUGAGGAAUACAUCGGAAUCUACUUUUUCGUGGGGGAUAACGUAGGGAAACUUACGCUAAUACCGCAUACGACCUACGGGUGAAAGCAGGGGAUCUUCGGACCUUGCGCGAUUGAAUGAGCCGAUGUCGGAUUAGCUAGUUGGCGGGGUAAAGGCCCACCAAGGCGACGAUCCGUAGCUGGUCUGAGAGGAUGAUCAGCCACACUGGAACUGAGACACGGUCCAGACUCCUACGGGAGGCAGCAGUGGGGAAUAUUGGACAAUGGGCGCAAGCCUGAUCCAGCCAUACCGCGUGGGUGAAGAAGGCCUUCGGGUUGUAAAGCCCUUUUGUUGGGAAAGAAAAGCAGCAGGUUAAUACCCCGCUGUUCUGACGGUACCCAAAGAAUAAGCACCGGCUAACUUCGUGC
rnacentral:rRNA from 1 species